GGCCAGGUAGCUCAGUCGGUAGAGCAGGGGACUGAAAAUCCCCGUGUCGGUGGUUCAAUUCCACCCCUGGCCACCA
rnacentral:tRNA from 2 species